UGCAGUCGAGCGGUAGAGAGAAGCUUGCUUUUCUUGAGAGCGGCGGACGGGUGAGUAAUGCCUAGGAAUCUGCCUGGUAGUGGGGGAUAACGUUCGGAAACGGACGCUAAUACCGCAUACGUCCUACGGGAGAAAGCAGGGGACCUUCGGGCCUUGCGCUAUCAGAUGAGCCUAGGUCGGAUUAGCUAGUUGGUGAGGUAAUGGCUCACCAAGGCGACGAUCCGUAACUGGUCUGAGAGGAUGAUCAGUCACACUGGAACUGAGACACGGUCCAGACUCCUACGGGAGGCAGCAGUGGGGAAUAUUGGACAAUGGGCGAAAGCCUGAUCCAGCCAUGCCGCGUGUGUGAAGAAGGUCUUCGGAUUGUAAAGCACUUUAAGUUGGGAGGAAGGGCAGUAAAUUAAUACUUUGCUGUUUUGACGUUACCGACAGAAUAAGCACCGGCUAACUCUGUGCCAGCAGCCGCGGUAAU
rnacentral:rRNA from 1 species